rnacentral:rRNA from 1 species
UUAAAAAGCUCGUAGUUGGAUUUCUGUUGAGGGCGUCCGGUACGCAUUUCGUGCGUUAUCUGGCUCGGUCUUGGCAUCCUCUUGGGGAACGUCGCAAUCUUGAUUGAUCGUGGCGGAAUUCAAGACUUUUACUUUGAGGAAAUUAGAGUGUUCACGGCAAGCAAGUGCUUUGAAUACAUUAGCAUGGAAUAAUGAUAUAGGACCUUUGUUCUAUUUUGUUGGUUUCUAGAACUAAGGUAAUGAUUAAUAGGGACAAUUGGGGGCAUUCGUAUUAACGCGUCAGAGGUGGAAUUCUUGGAUUGCGUUACGACGAACUACUGCGAAAGCAUUUGCCAAGGAUGUUUUCAUUGAUCAAGAACGAAAGUAUGGGGAUCGAAGACGAUUAGAUACCGUCGUAGUCUAUACCAUAAACUAUGCCAACUAGGGAUUGGAGGUCGUUCUUUUCAUGACUCCUUCAGCACCUUAUGAGAAAUCAAAGUUUUUGGGUUCCGGGGGGAGAAUGGUC